ACCAGACUCCUACGGGAGGCAGCAGUGGGGGAUAUUGCACAAUGGGGGGAACCCUGAUGCAGCGACGCCGCGUGGGUGAAGAAGCGCCUCGGCGCGUAAAGCCCUGUCAGCAGGGAAGAAAAUGACGGUACCUGAAGAAGAAGCCCCGGCUAACUACGUGCCAGCAGCCGCGGUAAUACGUAGGGGGCAAGCGUUAUCCGGAUUUACUGGGUGUAAAGGGGGCGCAGACGGCGAUGCAAGCCAGGAGUGAAAGCCCGGGGCCCAACCCCGGGACUGCUCUUGGAACUGCGUGGCUGGAGUGCAGGAGGGGCAGGCGGAAUUCCUGGUGUAGCGGUGAAAUGCGUAGAUAUCAGGAGGAACGCCGGUGGCGAAGGCGGCCUGCUGGACUGCAACUGACGUUGAGGCCCGAAAGCGUGGGGAGCAAACAGGAUUAGAUACCCGAGUAA
rnacentral:rRNA from 1 species